AAAGAUUUAGUUUAGCAGAAAACAUUAACUUGUCAAGUUAAAAAAACAAAGUAAAGUAGUCUUUA
rnacentral:tRNA from 1 species